UACGUAGGGGGCAAGCGUUGUCCGGAAUUAUUGGGCGUAAAGAGCGUGUAGGCGGUCUGGUAAGUCAGCUGUGAAAGUCAAGGGCUCAACCCUUGAAUGCCGGUGGAUACUGUCGGGCUAGAGUCCGGAAGAGGCGAGUGGAAUUCCUGGUGUAGCGGUGAAAUGCGCAGAUAUCAGGAGGAACACCAAUGGCGAAGGCAGCUCGCUGGGACGGUACUGACGCUGAGGCGCGAAAGCGUGGGGAGCAAACAGG
rnacentral:rRNA from 1 species